AGGAGCUAGCAGAGGGAGAGGAAGGAAGGCUGCUGCUCCCUGGGGUCAUGCUUGUCCCUGAAGUGGUUGAUGCGUGACAGUACCAACGACUCAGAGCUACCCCAGUGAACUACUCCAAAGCCAGAAGCAAAGCUGCCUUUGACUGUUGACCCAGGACAUAGGGCUCUUGUUACCUCACAGGCAUCAGUGGCUAGCACAGACACAUGAAAUUCACAUGUGCGUGUGACACGGGACUGGCGCACAAGGAGACGGUGCCUGGCUGGUCCUCACAUGAGUACAAGUAAUCCUUUAAGUCAAAGCAGUUACAUAACUGCAAAGAAAUUCGAUGCCAAUCUCCCUGUGCUCACAAAUGCAGCCCUGGCAGGCGGGCCGCUGUGACCUCAGUCACACGUCGUAAGCCUGUGCGUCACCCGCGGGGCUCUCUGAGCCUGCAUUGUGAUUUUUGUUCAGGGAGCUGCGGCAGCUGGAUUUUAUUUCGUGUUUGUUUUAUGGAUUCUGCUGCUUGUGUUCACACCGGGCAGGACCCCGUGGAACAGGACCUGCUUUGCAGGCCUCUGUGCUAGAACAACACGGUCUCUGUUGGCCUCCUAUUGCUAGGAAGGAAUGGGAUCUGAACAAAACAGGCGCACGGCGUGGAAGGGGCCGUGCAUCUCCUUUCAGCUCUGCCUUCCUGGAAAGCCUUCAGUAGCUCGGAUGCUGACUCCCCGGUCACACACGUCCCGCUGUGAGGAGUCACAGUCUGCCAGGCUGCUGGCCACCACAGGAAGAAGACACUGACUUCAGGACAGGACUGUGCCUUCUCCCUGCUGCUCACUCAGUGAGAGGCUUUGUGCUGACUCUCCAGAGAAACCGCACUGACAAGAGACAGAUGUGGAUACGGACGGGAUGUCGGUACUGAGACAGAGACAUGUGGACAGAUGGGAGCAGACAGGCAGACAGGAUUAUUGUCAAGCUCUUCUGUUGCAACAUCUUUCCCUGAAGAAAGUAGCCGUCUGCAUGACUCACUGACACGAUAAUAUUUACAUCCAUGCUGUAAUGGACUCUACCAUACUGUUUUGUUUUUUAAAAAUUGAUUUUACUAGCAGGUUUUUGUGUGCCUGACCUGUCUUAAUUCUGUCUGCGUUCCCUUCCCUUCCCUCCGCCACUGUUCCUUUCCCUUUUGCAGGGAUUUAUCUCCCUGCUUCACUUUAAAAAGGUUUUACGGCCCACUAAAAUGUUAUCCUGAUCCAACAAUGCACUGCAAACCACACUUUGAAAACUACUGCUCUACUUCCUGGGCUGUAAGUGCCACCCUGCUCUCCGGGCCUGACCUGGAAAACAUGUUUUACCUUCUGUGCCUUGUCCUGUUGGGAAGCAGAGCACGCCUUCCUCACCCUGGCCACUGGGUCCCCUGAACGUGGACUGCGUUCAGCCCGUGGUCUCCCUCAUGGGAAGUUGCACGGCGUGGCCCCCACACCAUGCCAUUUGCUUCCUUAAUAAUGGAGGUUUUAGAGCACUGUAGGAAGCUUGGACAGUAGGAACCACAUUCGUGACCUUGACCUCGGUGGAGGGGCCCACACUGGCACCCUGCGCCUCCCCGCACCCUGGGCUCCCUGUGACGGGAGGGGUGUCGGCUGCUGAACUUCAGUGCAGGGGCACAGGAUGCUCUGCCUCCUCCUCGCCAGCCUGGGAGGGGAUGCCCCAGCGGGGGAGGCUGCGGGCCGGAGGGGAGGUGCCGAGCAGCUCUGCCCCAGUCAUGGGCUGCAGCAGCAGGUGAGUGAGUCGGCCCCCUUAAGACAGCGGGACCUCUGCUCCGAAGAGCCCACUCGCAGGCUGCAAGAAAACUGACCCGAGGAUUUUGAAGCAGGGAGCUUGGGCGUGGUUUCACAAAGGUGAGCGACACAACAUAAAAGAGUGCACAUGUGACGUCAGAUCCUGAAUCGAUUCAAAACAUUUCCCUUUCAAUGUCAUUUUGACUUUGGGAGGAGCCAGAAGCCACAGGGCGCAGAUCCCAUGAAUGAAGUGGAAGAGGACGCGGGUC